rnacentral:rRNA from 1 species
UACAGAGGUCUCAAGCGUUGUUCGGAUUCAUUGGGCGUAAAGGGUGCGUAGGCGGCGCGGUAAGUCGGGUGUGAAAUCUCGGGGCUUAACUCCGAAACUGCAUUCGAUACUGCCGUGCUUGAGGACUGGAGAGGAGACUGGAAUUUACGGUGUAGCGGUGAAAUGCGUAGAUAUCGUAAGGAACACCGGUGGCGAAGGCGGGUCUCUGGGCCGAUACUGACGCUGAGGAGCGAAAGCGUGGGGAGCGAACAGG